UGCCAGACUCCUACGGGAGGCAGCAGUGGGGAAUAUUGGGCAAUGGGCGCAAGCCUGACCCAGCAACGCCGCGUGAAGGAAGAAGGCCCUCGGGUUGUAAACUUCUUUUAUCAGGGACGAAACAAAUGACGGUACCUGAUGAAUAAGCCACGGCUAACUACGUGCCAGCAGCCGCGGUAAUACGUAGGUGGCAAGCGUUAUCCGGAUUUACUGGGUGUAAAGGGCGUGCAGCCGGAGAGACAAGUCAGAUGUGAAAUCCACGGGCUCAACUCGUGAACUGCAUUUGAAACUGUUUCCCUUGAGUGUCGGAGAGGUAAUCGGAAUUCCUUGUGUAGCGGUGAAAUGCGUAGAUAUAAGGAAGAACACCAGUGGCGAAGGCGGAUUACUGGACGAUAACUGACGGUGAGGCGCGAAAGCGUGGGGAGCAAACAGGAUUAGAUACCCCUGUAAC
rnacentral:rRNA from 1 species